UUCCUCUAGCCUGAGUGCCUGCUGAUUGACGUCUUACCAGACAAAGUUAGAUCUAGCUAUUUUCGUCUAAUACUGUCUGGUAAUGCCGUUGAUCGCACUGGCAAAAUCUUCGCCUUCAC
rnacentral:precursor_RNA from 14 species